GUUUGAAAAACCUCUCUAUUCUCCUUCCUGAUGAUACUAAACUGUGGCUCUGCAAUGGAUGAUAUUACGACCCGUUUUGUCCGUUCCCACUCCUGGGAUACAGUCACCUAAUCACCGCUCACCAGAUCACACCGCCUAAAGUUGUCACCACCUCAACACAGCUGGAAAGCAAGCUUCCUGUCUCUGUAAGUCCUGGAGGUGCCCCUGGAUGUGGGAGGCAGAAACCAAC